rfam:Schistosoma margrebowiei strain Zambia genome assembly, scaffold: SMRZ_scaffold0004341
AUCCAGCUGACGAGUCCCAAAUAGGAUGAAACGUGCGUCUUUGAU